UAUUUAGCACUUGUGUUAAAUAAUUUAGUGGCGAACGGGUGAGUAACACGUAAGAACUUACCCCUAGACGAGGUACAACAGUUGGAAACGACUGCUAAUACCUCAUAUUACCGGAAGGUGAAAGAAGCAAUUCGUCUAGGGCGAGGCUUGCGUCUGAUUAGCUUGUUGGUGAGGUAAAGGCUUACCAAGGCGACGAUCAGUAGUUGGUCUUAGAGGAUGAUCAGCCACAUUGGGACUGAGACACGGCCCAAACUUUUACGGGAGGCAGCAGUAAGGAAUUUUCCGCAAUGGGCGCAAGCCUGACGGAGCAAUACCGCGUGAAGGAUGACGGCCCAUGGGUUGUAAACUUCUUUUCUUGGAGAAGAAUUCUGACGGUAUCCAAGGAAUAAGCAUCGGCUAACUCCGUGCCAGCAGCCGCGGUAAGACGGGGGAUGCAAGCGUUAUUCGGAAUUAUUGGGCGUAAAGCGUCUGUAGGUGGUAAGGAAAGUGUAAUGUUAAAGAUCAGGGCUCAACCCUGGGAAAGCAUUGCAAACUAUCUUACUUGAGUUCGGUAGGGGCAGAGAGAAUUCCCAGUGUAGCGGUGAAAUGCGUAGAUAUUGGGAGGAAGACCGGUGGCGAAGGCGUUCUGCUGGGCCGUAACUGACACUCAGAGACGAAAGCUAAGGUAGCAAAUAGGAUUAGAUA
rnacentral:rRNA from 1 species